rnacentral:rRNA from 1 species
CGGUCCUAGUGGCGAACGGUCGCGUAACACGUAAGCAACCUGCCCUGAAGUGGGGGACAACAUCCCGAAAGGGGUGCUAAUACCGCAUGUGGUCACGAGUCGGCAUCGGCUUGUGUCUAAAGAUUUAUCGCUUCAGGAUGGGCUUGCGGCCUAUCAGGUAGUUGGUGGGGUAAUGGCCUACGGAGCCGACGACGGGUAGCUGGUCUGAGAGGACGAUCAGCCGGAUUGGGACUGAGAUACAGACCAGACUCCUACGGG